rnacentral:lncRNA from 1 species
CAGUAAGCUCACAAAGAAAUGUUCCACUCAGGAAUUGUGUAUGGCUUUCCAUAACUGAGGACAGGUAGGGUGACAAGGUGACAAUAUAUCUACAAGGACUACGUUUUCGUCAGCAACCUUCAUUAAUACUUCUCUCGUACCGAUCUCGUUUCUGAGAAAACAGAAAUGCAUUUUACCGUAGUCCUAUUGCUGACUGGUGUAGGAUCAGGUUGUUGCACUUGCUUCAACCCCUCUUCUGUUGUGGUUGUAGAUGCGCACAUUGAACGUUACGUAUAUCAUAAAUUAGGGUCACCGUCUCUCUAUACCUGUGCAUCGGCAUGUCUCAUGUCUUCAGUCUGCAUGUCCUUCAACUUUGAGACCUAAACUCGCAUCUGUGAACUCAACAGCAACAGCAGUGACCAAGUGGCCGUCACAACGCAGCAAGGAUUUCUCUUCAGUGACAUCAACCACUGGCCUAAGUCACUCGCUGGCGCCUGCUCGGAGAAACCUUGUCCAAUGUCCAGAUGUUAUCUAGAUCGACUGGGUCGGGCAUCUUGUGAGACAGAGUUUCAAGGCUGUGCGGCACCACCUUCUGUUUCGAAUGCUGAGGUGCAUUAUGACGGAGUGUACGAAGGAGCAGUGGCAGAAUACACUUGCAAGGACAACUUCAUGAUGUGCACUGCUAGACACAGCAGAGUUUGCC